rnacentral:rRNA from 1 species
UACGUAGGGGGCAAGCGUUGUCCGGAUUUAUUGGGCGUAAAGAGCGUGUAGGCGGCCAGAUAGGUCCGCUGUGAAAACUCGAGGCUCAACCUCGAGCUGUCGGUGGAAACCAUCUGGCUAGAGUCCGGAAGAGGAGAGUGGAAUUCCCGGUGUAGCGGUGAAAUGCGCAGAUAUCGGGAAGAACACCCGUGGCGAAGGCGGCUCUCUGGGACGGUACUGACGCUGAGACGCGAAAGCGUGGGGAGCGAACAGG